UACGUAGGGCGCGAGCGUUGUCCGGAAUUAUUGGGCGUAAAGAGCUCGUAGGCGGUGUGUCACGUCGGCCGUGAAAACUUGCAGCUUAACUGUGGGCGUGCGGUCGAUACGGGCAUCACUGGAGUUCGGCAGGGGAGACUGGAAUUCCUGGUGUAGCGGUGAAAUGCGCAGAUAUCAGGAGGAACACCGGUGGCGAAGGCGGGUCUCUGGGCCGAUACUGACGCUGAGGAGCGAAAGCGUGGGGAGCAAACAGG
rnacentral:rRNA from 1 species